UGCGGGGUAGAGCAGUUGGUAGCUCGUCGGGCUCAUAACCCGGAGGUCGCAGGUUCGAGUCCUGCCCCCGCUA
rnacentral:tRNA from 6 species